CACAACUCCCUUUUUGAAAGUUGGUUAAAAAAGUAGCCUAUGUUACUCCUUCGUUAAUCCUUUACUUGUUUGUGAAAGUCCCGUCAAAAUAGGUUCAGCCGUUCCGAAGAUUAACCCGCUCAAACAGACAGAAGACAAACAAUUU